ensembl:rRNA 5S_rRNA 5S ribosomal RNA
GUCUACGGCCAUACCACCCUGAACACACCCGAUCUCCUCUGAUCUCGGAAGCUAAGCAGGGUCGGGCCUGGUUAGUACCUGGAUGGGAGAUUACCUCUUUGCUUUCAAGUUAUUUAGGUU